CCCCGUGAGGUGGAGGAGGCCGUGUAUGCGGCAUCAUCUUUAGGGAGCUUGCAGUCCCAGAUCUAAAAUAAAUAAGAUGCACUUCAAGGCAAAAUCAAUUGCUCUGCGCAUGGAUUCUGGGCAUGGAUUCUGGGAACUGGGGUCUCCUGGGGUCGCGUUGCCACCUGCUGCUUACAAAGAUAGAGGCAGACCACGUUUCCAUCCGUCACAGCUGGAGCGUGUACCACACAAAAGGCGCAGGUGGGCGACGGGACCAUCUCAAACUGGACCACUUCCCAGCGAGGAAUGUCGGCCGUGGUUCUCACGGGCAGACAAGCAUGCGCAGCCAAAGCGGAUGGAAAAGCUACGGAAUCUCUCUCAGCACUGAUGACACCUGCCUUUUGCCUCGAUGUGGGGACGAACGAGCCAGUUAAGGUGGCCAGCGGGGGCUGGGGACCUACGGCAGAAUGUCCGUCCUGAACACGGGAGGCAUCGCACCGGUUGAAGGGAGCCCACGAAACAACGCUGAAAGCUGAAGACUAUGGCAAAUGCGAAGCUUCGGGAGCCCACGAGAAGGAGCAAAGGAGAAAUCUCAUCGAAAGUCCUCCCUGUGCCAACUUUCCAGACACGUCAGCUCAGGAAAUCCCUGUGGACAAAGGCUGUGCCCCAGCUGCCAGCCGCUCAGCCUCCGCCCACCCUUUCUCUGCCGCUGACACCUUCCCAAGGAGCGGCUCAAAGAGGCAGGUGGAGGGGAGAGGACUGGCUCUGGCCGCGGGCUCACCCGCGGUACCCGGACCCUUCGGAGAUGUUGGUGGCGCUCGUGUUCGUCUGCCCUGCUGCAUACCCACGUAGCCUCGGCUUGUUACCCUCUUUUGUGAGAGACAGGCCACAGGUCAGUCCUUUUCCCCGUGGUAUCAGACAACGGGGGCCUGUGACUUUCGGGUGGUUCUAGGAAAUGAGAGCGCCCUCUCCCGGGCAGCACAGAUCGGGAACCGGGUACCCACCUGGCCGGGGGCCACUGUGACGUGGAGUGUUGGCUAUGGCACAUCAAGGAACGGGAUCCCCUCCACUGCUCACCUGUAAUCGCAGGUGGAUGAGAGAGAGGCAGACGCAGACGGAGGCAGGCGGGGUGCACGGCAAGCAGCCAGGGUCUCCCCUCCCUACGCGCCCCAGAGCCCACUGGAGGCCGCUGGACGGCAGUAUGAUGUUGCUGGUUUGCCUCCAUUAAGGGCACGCAUCUCAAAACGAGCUGCAAGGUCACAAGUGAAGCUGCUUCAGUUUGAUUGUUAGUGUCUGUCUUGGGAGGAAUUCCCAGCUGGGAAUAAAAGGAGGAAACUUGAAAACUUGCCGACGGCGCAUUCAAAAUGCAAACAGUGAAUUAUGCACUUGGAACUAAUCAGCCGCCAUAAACGUGGUCCUGGAGCCGCGAGAAAUGACACAGAAUGUGCCACAACGCAUAAGAAGUCUCUUUUGAGUCAAGAGCUGACAGUUCCCAUAAAAUCCAACACUUUUUAAAAACAUGCCAAAUGUCAAUCAUAACCAAGAGUCUGACGCGUCCUCAGCAGAAAAUCUUUUCUUUUCUGUGGAGAAGAAAUCACAGGGAACAGAACUCACCAAGAACCCCAAUUACCCCAAACAUACGAACUGAUAAAAAGCGGUAGUUCCAGCCCAAAUCUCACUCACGGUUCCAGCUCAGAUGUCACGUUGUCUUCAGAAAUCCUCCCUGAACACUCUCAGAGGCUCAAAUCCCACGUGUGUGCGAAACAAAGCCACCCCACCCCCGCACCCCAAAACCCAGGGCUCCCCGCACCCCCCUCGUGCCCGCCCGGGCACCCCGAGCAAUUACCACCCUCCCCGGGCACCUCCUGGCAAGGCUGCUCACCUCCGGCUGCCCUCCCCAUCGUGACCUGGCACCCACCCUCCUGCACCUUUUGCCAGCCCUGUGACCCCUCAGGCCAGGCCCCUCCCUCCACCAUCAACAGGGCGGGGCUCCUGCCAGCACCCCCCCCCCACCAUGCUUUCGCUAACACCGAACUCUUGCUGACGAAAAAAGAUCGUAGGUAAUUCCUGCAAAAGCUAUUAGUGCAAUCGUGUUGAUUUAAAAAUUAUUAUUCUAAUUGUAUUAGGAAUUGGAAGGUUUUUGAAAAUACUUUAAAGUGCCCAAGGAGAGGGACCCCACCCUGGGCCCUGGACACGUUCACUCAGUGAGCAGUAAACGAGCUCUGACGUUUCUGGAUCCAAAUUGGUCUCUGCUGGUUUUUUUAUGCCCACGAUGAUGCCCGUCCUUGGUUCGCGCACCCGGCUGGAGAUUGGCCUUGCACUUUCAGGAAGACUUCGGUGGUGGCUGAAAGUCCUCCUCUUGGCCUCCGCAGGGGCAGCAACUGGCCUUGGGUGAGGAAGCCGCUCUGGCUCAGCUUGGUGUUGGCACAGCCACGUGGCGUCUGCGCUGAGGGGGAGCCGGGCGCCACCCAGCAGGACAGAGCGAGCGAGGUGCCACAUCGGAUUCAAAGGGAAACGUGUGUUGAGGGCACCAGAAGGACUCUGCCCAUGGAGGACAGGUUGCCCCCACCCCCAGUGACAUGGCAUUUCCCAGGGACUGGGUGAGGACGGGCCCCAGAGAGUCACAGUCGCUGCCCACCUAGCAGGGCAACGCUCGCUCCCUCCCUCCCUGAGUGUGACCAGCGCCCGCUGCUCUGGCACCUGGAAGCCUAAGGCCCAAUGCAGGGACCACGCCCAUGCCAAGCCUGCCAGUUAGGACAAGGAAAGGUGCGUGGGCAGGGGCACGGCCAGGCUUCUCGCCGAAGGAAAGGGGCACCUCGGUCCCUCUGUUCCCCAUGUGACGCUCUGAGCUGUGGCCCGAGGCCAUGGUCAUACUGGGAAGAGGCACCCGUUUGCGGUCAGCGCCGAGGCUCCCUCGUCCCCACAGCCCCGCCCCAGCUGUGCCCGUGCCAGUUUCCCGGACAUCGGGUGGCCUUCCCUACCUCCCCAAGCACCUGCGGGCACACAGUAGGUGCUCAGUAGACACAGCCUGGCUGAAAGGAAGGCGCUCCCUCCCCAGGAGAUCUCACUUUGAAUUGCAGGUAGAAUUCAGGUGUCUGGAGCUGGCCCUCCGCUGCCUGGAGAGCGUGGCCAGGAAAGGGCGGGCCCCACUGCAGACGGUGGCAUCCCUGAUGCCGCUCAGCGUGGGUCAGAAAGUCGGCAGCAAGGCCUGAGCCACCACAGGACAGAAGGCCUUCAACGUCCAUUUGGGUAGGGUCUAACCCAGGUCCCCACAGUGCGGCUGCUCUGUCACCAGACUUUCAUUUAAGGGAUGACCACAGGUUUGAACCCCCCUGCGAGGUCGUCUCACACGUCCUAUCUUAAUAGUUUAAACUUUAAAAUCAUCAUUAAUCAAAUGACUCAUUUUGUGCUAGAAUUGAUCAAGCAGUUUCUAAUGAUGACAACUCAAUUGCAUGUUCGUUUAGAAGCAAGUUCCAUAAAACAGGGCUCAUCUAAAUACAUCUUUUAGAAGCUCAAGCACAGGAAAAUAGAAUUUGUCGUCCAGGGACGCUCUUUUCUUAAGCAGAGUGGAAGCGGAAGCAUUAUCAUCCUUAUUUUCACGUCAAAUGUCUCCCAGUGUCUCAUCAGUCUUUUGUAUCUUGUGAUUCAAAAGCACAGAGGAAAGGAAGGUGGGGAAAUGGAGCCGUGGGGACAGAACUACGUUGGGGAACUUGGAGCCUGUUCCAAGAUGAAGCUUCAAGGAGCGGCUCCUUGAUGGAUGGCUGGUGGCUGGCAUGUGGCACCUCUGCUCCCACAAACACCCACUGAUGUGCCGCUGGCCUGGCAAGAAGCCCUGGGUUGUUUUUUGUUUUGAAACCAAUAGAACCGCAUCCUGUCAAACAGAAACAGUAGAAGAGUGUUCUGGAAAGUGGAGCUGCAACUGUGGAACAGCUCUUCCAGCAGCACCACUGCCUCUCCUGGUGCACCUUCCUGUACCACAGAGCUAGAAACAAAGCGCUGUGUCCCCAGAAUGAGGGCCUGCAGGCACCCCCGGCUCAGCCAGGCCACAUGUCAUGCUGCAGUGGUGGCCCUGAGCUGGAGAGCCAGAGGCAGCUCCUCUGGGUCCUGUGGCUCUUGGAGGACAAAUGUGGGGAGGGCCCUGGUCCUUGGCCUGGGUCGUGAGGAGGCCAUGGGGCUUCCACCGGACUGGAGCCCUGAAGAUCAGACACCCCUCCUGGCCACCUUGCCCUUCAUGUGAGCCGUUCCUGCCUGGUCCUCUGACCCUCCAAUAAAUUCUCUGAGCCACCAGCACCCUGAACAACCAAGACACAAGCAAUCCUUUUACUCUAGAAUCAGCUGGGUGGCCUCUGUCUGCAGCUAAGAGCCCCAGCUCAAUAUACAAACCUGGGCCGGGCCAUCAUGACAGGGUGAGCUGUAGAGGGUGGGGUGCAGGGGGUCACAGCACAGGGACGAAGCAGUUACUAAGCUAUUCCCUGCCCUGAGGAUAGCGCACCCUUGGGCACCAACCUCGGGCACAGCAAGCUGCGACGUUGCUGGAGGUUAGGAUGGGCAUAUGCAGAGUUCCCGCCCCUCUGAGCAGGUGGGCGGCUUCUAAUUAGGAUGAGGAAUCUAAACAGAAAACAAGCCCAAAGCAGAAAUCUCUCAGUUGAAGACGGAGCCGAGGGAGUGCCUGUCCUGGCUCAGUGGGAAAUGAAUCCGACUAGGAACCAUGCGGUUCGAUUCUUGGCCUCGCUCGGUGGGUUAAGAUCCAGUGUUGCCAUGAGUCAUGGUGUAGGUCACAGACAUGGCUCAGAUCCGGUGUUGCUGUGGCUGUGGUGUAGGCCGGUGGCUCUAGCUCUCAUUUGACUCCCAGCCUGGGAGCUUCCAUAUGCCCCAAGUGCAGCCCUG
rnacentral:lncRNA from 1 species